rnacentral:lncRNA from 1 species
AUUCAUCAUCAUUUCGCACAUUUUGCAUGUUUAAGUGUGUCUAGCAUUAGUCUUGCAUGCAUUUUGCAUUCUGGAGUUGUUUCAGGUGUUUCGGAGCUAUUGGUGUUCAGAAAGAGGAAAAACAGAGCUGAAAGUCACAUCUGGACCCUUAUACUCGAUCACCAGUAGCAGAGAGGGAAGCAGUCAGCUCAGCAGACCAUCAGGACCCUUAUACUCGAUCACAGGGCAGUCUAGCCAGACUGUUCUACUCGAUCGCAGAGGA